UACGAAGGGUGCAAGCGUUACUCGGAAUUACUGGGCGUAAAGCGUGCGUAGGUGGUUCGUUAAGUCUGUCGUGAAAGCCCCGGGCUCAACCUGGGAAUGGCGAUGGAUACUGGCGGGCUAGAGUGCGGUAGAGGGUGGUGGAAUUCCCGGUGUAGCAGUGAAAUGCGUAGAGAUCGGGAGGAACAUCAGUUGCGAAGGCGGCCACCUGGACCAGCACUGACACUGAGGCACGAAAGCGUGGGGAGCAAACAGG
rnacentral:rRNA from 2 species